UUCGGUGAUCAUAGGUACGGGGAUACACCUGUUCCCAUUUCGAACACAGCAGUUAAGCCCGUGCCGCCGAUGAUACUGCAUGGCGGGAAAGUAGGUCGUCGCCGAAC
rnacentral:rRNA from 1 species